rnacentral:lncRNA from 1 species
CGCAAACACUGCAUCUGGAAGGCAAGAGGAAUGUCUCAGGAAGACACUCAGUGAAGGCGAGAAGGUGUCUCCUUCAAGUGUAAAUCAAUUAUUUCACAGAGUCAAACCUGUGGUUAAUAAAGCCCACAUUUUUUAAUCAACCUUGAUGCUACCAUCAGACCAAGAAAAGACAGUGGUAAAAGAAAUGACUGCUGCCUCAAGAUCUGAGGGCUCCACCUUGGAACUGCCCUCAAAACCAGACUGGACAACUAGGAGAUGGGAGCAGUAACCAAUCACAUCUCUGAGGCCUCAAGCAAGGCACUGUAUAUAAACUGUUGAACAAAAAUGAUCGCUCCCUUCAGGAGAUACGGGUCACACAUCAACAUUUAAGUACAAAGGGUGACAAAUGGUGUACCAUAAUUGGAACAUAUGUUCCCUGAACUGACAGUACUCUGUCUCUACAGCACAGUCCCUAUGAAUUAAGAUACUUACAGUGAUGAGGAAUGGUAUGCUGGAAACAGUUUUGCUAUUUUCUUCAAAUUAGCUGAAGUCAUGCUAUGUCUCAAUAAAUUAUUU